UACGGGGGGGGCAAGCGUUGUUCGGAAUUACUGGGCGUAAAGGGCUCGUAGGUGGCCAACUAAGUCAGACGUGAAAUCCCUCAGCUUAACUGGGGAACUGCGUCUGAUACUGGAUGGCUUGAGUUUGGGAGAGGGAUGCGGAAUUCCAGGUGUAGCGGUGAAAUGCGUAGAUAUCUGGAGGAACACCGGUGGCGAAGGCGGCAUCCUGGACCGGGAUUGACACUGAGGCGCGAAAGCCAGGGGAGCAAACGGG
rnacentral:rRNA from 1 species